UGUGAACUGCAGGACACAUGAACAUCGACAUUUCGAACGCACAUUGCGGUCCACGGAUCUCGUUCCCGGACCACGCCUGGCUGAGGGUCGUUUAUAAAAACGAACCCGACUGCUCUCUCGCAAGAGAGAGCGUUGAUCUGGGCGCUCGUCUCUAUCUCUAUGCGCUCGCGCGCGCGCUCUUUCUUCUAUUCGUAGAGAGAGAGAGUGCGCGAGAGUGUGCGUAGCAGUGUGACACGUCGCCUCAAACGAACGCAAGAAAAAGAUGAAUUCGUUCGUCUAGCUGGCGCGCGGCGCUUACCGCUUGGAGAGUACGUCAGUACUUCCGAUCGUUCUGCGUCGAGUCCCGGAGCUUUCUCGACUCGUCGAGCAGCGGACCGACGUCUAGCACACGAUCAGGCUCGUCCAUGCAUCGGUCAUUGAACGCGCGCGCGCGCUCGUGCUCUCUUUUGUUUUAACGAACGAAAGUAGGUAACGACGGCUAGCUCGAAGCUUUUGCGCUGAACGAGUCUUUUUUCUCGAUCGACGACCUCAGAGCAGGCAAGAC
rnacentral:rRNA from 1 species